rnacentral:rRNA from 1 species
CGCCUGUUUAACAAAAACAUUUCUUUUUAAUAACUACAUAAAAGGUAGGCCCUGUUCAAUGAGUAUUUAAUAACCGCAGUAUUUUACUGUGCGAAGGUAGCAUNAUAAUUUUUUCUUUAAUUGGGAGGUUGAAUGAAUGGGUUAACAAGGUAUCGACUUUAUUUACGUUUUGGUAGAAUUUUAUGGGGAGGUUAAAAUGCCUUUUUGUGUUAAAGGGACGACAAGACCCUAGAAGCUUUGAAGUUUCUUAUAAAGAAGGGCUUAUUUAACUGGGGCGGUUAGUAUUGUAAACAAUAUAGUUUUAACAUUUUGUAUGGUUUGUAUGAUCUUGAUUUAAAUAGUAAGGUAAGCUACUCUAGGGAUAACAGCGUAAUUAAGUUUGAGAGUUCUUAUCGAAGGCUUAGUUGCGACCUCGAUGUUGAAUUAAGUGGGCCGCUUGGAGCAGAAAAUGAGCAGGUGAGUUUGUUCAACUCUUAAAUAUUUACAUGAUCUGAG